AGAGUUUGAUCCUGGCUCAGGAUGAACGCUAGCGGCAGGCUUAACACAUGCAAGUCGAGGGGCAGCGGGGAGGAAGCUUGCUUUCUCCGCCGGCGACCGGCGCACCGGUGAGUAACACGUAUGCAACCUGCCCCUGUCAGGGGGACAACCCGCCGAAAGGCGGGCUAAACCCGCGUACAUGCCACCGGGGCAUCCCGGAGGCAGGAAAGGCUUCGGCCGGACAGGGAUGGGCAUGCGGCGCAUUAGGCAGUAGGCGGGGUAACGGCCCACCUAACCGACGAUGCGUAGGGGUUCUGAGAGGAAGGUCCCCCACACUGGUACUGAGACACGGACCAGACUCCUACGGGAGGCAGCAGUGAGGAAUAUUGGUCAAUGGUCGGGAGACUGAACCAGCCAAGCCGCGUGAGGGAUGAAGGUACAGAGUAUCGUAAACCUCUUUUGUCAGGGAACAAAGGCGGGGACGCGUCCCCGGAUGAGUGUACCUGAAGAAAAAGCAUCGGCUAACUCCGUGCCAGCAGCCGCGGUAAUACGGAGGAUGCGAGCGUUAUCCGGAUUUAUUGGGUUUAAAGGGUGCGCAGGCGGUCUGUUAAGUCAGCGGUCAAAGCCCGGGGCUCAACCCCGGCCCGCCGUUGAAACUGGCAGUCUCGAGUUGGAGAGAAGUAUGCGGAAUGCGCGGUGUAGCGGUGAAAUGCAUAGAUAUCGCGCAGAACUCCGAUUGCGAAGGCAGCAUGCCGGCUCCACACUGACGCUGAGGCACGAAAGCGUGGGUAUCGAACAGGAUUAGAUACCCUGGUAGUCCACGCAGUAAACGAUGAAUGCUGGCUGUCCGGGGGGACUGACCCCUGGGUGGCGAAGCGAAAGCGAUAAGCAUUCCACCUGGGGAGUACGCCGGCAACGGUGAAACUCAAAGGAAUUGACGGGGGCCCGCACAAGCGGAGGAACAUGUGGUUUAAUUCGAUGAUACGCGAGGAACCUUACCCGGGCUCAAACGGGGAGUGACUCAGGCAGAGACGCCUGUUUCCCACGGGACACUCCCCGAGGUGCUGCAUGGUUGUCGUCAGCUCGUGCCGUGAGGUGUCGGCUUAAGUGCCAUAACGAGCGCAACCCCCGCGUGCAGUUGCUAACAGAUAACGCUGAGGACUCUGCACGGACUGCCGGCGCAAGCCGCGAGGAAGGCAGGGAUGACGUCAAAUCAGCACGGCCCUUACGUCCGGGGCGACACACGUGUUACAAUGGGUGGUACAGCGGGAAGCCAGGCGGCGACGCCGAGCGGAACCCGAAAUCCACUCUCAGUUCGGAUCGGAGUCUGCAACCCGACUCCGUGAAGCUGGAUUCGCUAGUAAUCGCGCAUCAGCCAUGGCGCGGUGAAUACGUUCCCGGGCCUUGCACACACCGCCCGUCA
rnacentral:rRNA from 1 species